rnacentral:rRNA from 1 species
AUUGAACGCUGGCGGCAUGCCUUACACAUGCAAGUCGAACGGUAACGCGGGGCAACCUGGCGACGAGUGGCGAACGGGUGAGUAAUAUAUCGGAACGUGCCCAGUAGUGGGGGAUAGCCCGGCGAAAGCCGGAUUAAUACCGCAUACGACCUACGGGUGAAAGGGGGGAUCGCAAGACCUCUCGCUAUUGGAGCGGCCGAUAUCAGAUUAGCUAGUUGGUAGGGUAAAAGCCUACCAAGGCAACGAUCUGUAGCUGGUCUGAGAGGACGACCAGCCACACUGGGACUGAGACACGGCCCAGACUCCGACGGGGGGCAGCAGUGGGGAAUUUUGGACAAUGGGCGCAAGCCUGAUCCAGCCAUGCCGCGUGUGGGAAGAAGGCCUUCGGGUUGUAAACCACUUUUGUCAGGGAAGAAACGCUCUGGAUUAAUACUCUGGGGUAAUGACGGUACCUGAAGAAUAAGCACCGGCUAACUACGUGCCAGCCGCCGCGGUAA